rnacentral:rRNA from 1 species
AGAGUUUGAUCCUGGCUCAGAAUGAACGCUGGCGGUGUGCUUAACACAUGCAAGUCGCGCGCGAAAGUUUCUUCGGAAAUGAGUAAAGCGGCGAACGGGUGAGNNNNNNNNNNNNNNNNNNNNNNNNNNNNNNNNNNNNNNNNNNNNNNNNNNGUUAAUACUGUAUAAGUCCCUUCGGGGAGAAAGAUGGCUUUAUGCUAUCGCUAGAGGAUGAGCUUGCGGACUAUUAGCUAGUUGGUGGGGUAAAGGCCUACCAAGGCGAUGAUGGAUAGCCGGCCUGAGAGGGUGAACGGCCUCAUUGGGACUGAGAUACGGCCCAGACUCCUACGGGAGGCAGCAGUGAGGAAUAUUGCGCAAUGGACGAAAGUCUGACGCAGCGACACCGCGUGGAGGAUGAAGGUUUUCGGAUUGUAAACUCCUGUUAAGUGGGAAGAAAUACCUGUUUCUAAUAAAGGCGGGGGAUGACGGUACCACUAAAGAAAGCACCGGCUAACUUCGUGCCAGCAGCCGCGGUAAUACGAGGGGUGCAAGCGUUAUUCGGAUUAACUGGGCGUAAAGGGUGUGUAGGUUGUGAAUCAAGUCCGCUGUUUAAUCCUUCAGCUUAACUGAAGGCUCGCAGUGGAAACUGAUUCGCUAGAGGAUGGAAGAGAGAAGUAGAAUUCUCGGAGUAGCGGUAAAAUGCGUAGAUCUCGAGAGGAAUACCGAUGGCGAAGGCAGCUUCUUGGUCCAUUCCUGACGCUCAUGCACGAAAGCGUGGGGAGCAAACAGGAUUAGAUACCCUGGUAGUCCACGCCGUAAACGAUGAUCACUAGACGUCGAAUCUGCUCUGCAGAAACGGUGUCGUAGCUAACGCGUUAAGUGAUCCACCUGGGGAGUACGAUCGCAAGAUUAAAACUUAAAGAAAUUGACGGGGGUCCGCACAAGCGGUGGAACAUGUGGUUUAAUUCGACACUACGCGAGAAACCUUACCUGGGUUUGACAUGUAUGUGACCGCUGUAGAAACACAGUUUUCCGGUUUACCGGACACAUACACAGGUGCUGCAUGGCUGUCGUCAGCUCGUGUCGUGAGAUGUUGGGUUAAGUCCUUUAACGAGCGCAACUCCUGUCGCUAGUUGCUACCCUGUAAAGGGGCACUCUAGCGAGACUGCCUGACUGCCUGGGAAACCAGGAGGAAGGCGGGAAUGACGUCAAGUCCUCAUGGCCCUUAUGUCCAGGGCGACACACGUGUUACAAUGGCUAAUACAAAGGGCUGCCAACCUGUAAAGGUGAGCAAAUCUCGAAAAUUAGUCUAAGUUCGGAUCGAGGUCUGCAAUUCGACCUCGUG